rnacentral:rRNA from 1 species
AACGAACGCUGGCGGCAGGCCUAACACAUGCAAGUCGAGCGAGCAUUUCGGUGCUAGCGGCGGACGGGUGAGUAACGCGUGGGAACGUGCCCUUUUCUGCGGAAUAGUCCUGGGAAACUGGGGGUAAUACCGCAUACGCCCUUUUGGGGAAAGAUUUAUCGGAGAAGGAUCGGCCCGCGUUGGAUUAGGUAGUUGGUGGGGUAAUGGCCCACCAAGCCGACGAUCCAUAGCUGGUUUGAGAGGAUGAUCAGCCACACUGGGACUGAGACACGGCCCAGACUCCUACGGGAGGCAGCAGUGGGGAAUCUUAGACAAUGGGGGCAACCCUGAUCUAGCCGUGCCGCGGGAGUGAUGAAGGCCUUAGGGUUGUAAAGCUCUUUCAGCUGGGAAGAUAAUGACGGUACCAGCAGAAGAAGCCCCGGCUAACUCCGU